rnacentral:lncRNA from 1 species
AUUUAUUCCAAAUUUCUCAUUAGUGAUAUUCAAGUCAAUUGGUUUAUAGGAUGACUUUUACAUUAAGUUACUAACUUAAGGAAGGAACAGGCUUGGGUUGGUGGUGAGAAGGAGAUGAGACAGAAAAAGUUAAAGGAAGGCUGAAUAGAGUGGUUAGCCUGACUAUCUUCAUAAAAUUUUCCUGUGCUGUAUAAAAUUAACAACAGAGAAAAUUAAAUAGCAUAUGGAAACCCAAGGUUUUCUGUAGCCAUAGAGAAUAUUAUUAAAGAGUUGAUCCCGGCAGGCUUUAGGUUGUCUAUGUAAAUGAGUUCAUAUGGGUACAUAACAUAGCAAGGUCCUUAGGUUUCAAAUAUUGACCUCAUUAAAUUUAACUUACACAAGUGGUUUAUAUUUAUUCUUUUUUUUAAAAAAAUUCUUUUUAUAGUCAUUUAAAUGUAUAGUCUUUUGGAGUAAAAUACAUCCUGUGCCCGUGUAACCUGAAGUCAAGAUUCUAGUUCAUUACAUCCCUCCUUAAGACUAUAAGUCCCAAUUCAUUCAGCACAUAAGAAGUUAAGAAUGUGGCAGAGCCAACAGCUUCCUUUACUUUCUAUUGCAUUUUGCAGGGGUUCUUUUAAUACGGGAAUCCAUAAAGACUUUAAAUGAUUUCCAAAUAGUAUGACUGAUGUCCAGCUUUGCCACAUAGUCCAGUGGUGACUAAGCAUGGCCUUAUCUGCCGUUCCUAAAGUGAUGUCAGUGAUGUGCAGUUGUCUUGAUAAAUUGAAAAGCAAGAGAUAAAUGCAUGCUGUAAAUCAUUUACCUUUGGCAAACAUAGAAAGUGUAUUUUUAGGCCACACCGUGAAUAAACAUUCCAAAUC